GAUGAAGAACGUAGCGAAAUGCGAUAACUAAUGUGAAUUGCAGAAUUUCGUGAAUCAUCGAGUCUUUGAACGCACAUUGCGCCCCCUGGUAUUCCGGGGGGCAUGCCUGUCCGAGCGUCAUUGCUGCCCAUCAAGCACGGCUUGUGUGUUGGGUCCUCGUCCCCCCCGGGGGACGUGCCCGAAAGGCAGCGGCGGCACCGCGUCCGGUCCUCGAGCGUAUGGGGCUUUGUCACCCGCUCUGCAGGCCCGGCCGGCGCUGGCCGACGCGAAAGCAACCAUUUUUUCUCCAGGUUGACCUCGGAUCAGGUAGGGAUACCCGCUGAACUUAAGCAUAUCAAUAAGCGGAGGA
rnacentral:misc_RNA from 1 species